AUUGAAAGCUGGCGGCAGGCCUAACACAUGUAAGUCGAACGAGUGGCGGACGGGUGAGUAAUGUCUGGGAAACUGCCCGAUGGAGGGGGAUAACUACUGGAAACGGUAGCUAAUACCGCAUACCAUCGGAUGUGCCCAGAUGGGAUUAGCUAGUAGGUGGGGUAACGGCUCACCUAGGCGACGAGCCCUAGCUGGUCUGAGAGGAUGACCAGCCCCACUGGAAAUGAGACACGUUCCAGACUCCUACGGUAGGCAGCAGUGGGGCAUCGUGCACGAUGGGCGCAAGCCUGUUGCAGCCAUGCCGCGUGUAUGAAUAAGGCCUUCUUGGUGCAAAGUACUUUGAGCUAGGCGGCUUUACGACCAGAAGAAGCACCGGCUAACACCGUGCCAGCAGCCGCGGUAAUAC
rnacentral:rRNA from 1 species